ACGUGGCUGAGACUACAGGUGCUUGCCACUAUGCCCAACUAAUAUUUGGAAUUUUCGUAUACGUGGAUUCCAGAGGGGUGACAGCGAAAUUAGGUGACCUCACAGUGACUCAAGCUACCACUUACUGUUGAUUGUGACGAAAUGCCAGCUGAGGCACAUGCCUUGGGAGCUAAGUGGUUGCUGCACUUGACCACUGUGAAGACUGGUGUGGGAAGAAGGGUCGUUUCUGAUGCACUUGAGCAGGGGUCCCCAACCCCUGAGCCAUGGAGCCGCAAGGAGCCACACAGCAGGAGUGUAAUAAUGGAAAUGAAGUGCCUAAUAAAUGUGAAUGUGCUUAAAUCUUUUGGCCCAGCUCCUACCUCCCGGCAGCCUCUCCAGGCCCAGAACUUUCUCCAGUCAGCCUCUACAGACCAAGCUCAUGACUCACAAUGGCCUAUUUAGGCCCAUACCC
rnacentral:lncRNA from 1 species